rnacentral:rRNA from 1 species
UACAGAGGGGGCAAGCGUUGUUCGGAAUUACUGGGCGUAAAGGGCGCGUAGGCGCCUUCUAAGUCGAACGUGAAAUCCCUGGGCUCAACCCAGGAACUGCGUCCGAUACUGGAAGGCUUGAAUCCGGGAGAGGGAUGCGGAAUUCCAGGUGUAGCGGUGAAAUGCGUAGAUAUCUGGAGGAACACCGGUGGCGAAGGCGGCAUCCUGGACCGGUAUUGACGCUGAGGCGCGAAAGCCAGGGGAGCAAAGCGGG